rnacentral:rRNA from 1 species
GAUAAACGCUGGCGGCGUGCCUAAUGCAUGCAAGUCGAACGGAUAGAUGUCUUCGGACAGCUAUUAGUGGCAAACGGGUGAGUAACACGUGGGGAUCUGCCCAGUAGUGGGGAACAACUCCGAGAAAUCGGAGCUAAUACCGCAUACGGUAGGUAUCGAGGGAUACCAUACUAAAGCCAGUAAUGGCGCUAUUGGAGGAACCUGCGGCUGAUUAGCUUAGNGGUGGGGCAAGGCCUACCAAGGCGAUGAUCAGUAGCUGGUCUGAGAGGAUGGACAGCCACACUGGGACUGAGAUACGGCCCAGACUCCUACGGGAGCAGCAGCAAGGAAUUUUCGUCAAUGGGGAAACCCUGAACGAGCAACGCCGCGUGGGCGAAGAAGUCUU